GCUGAAACUCGCCUACAUGAAGCUGGAGUUACUAGUAAUCGCAGAUCAGAAUGCUGCGGUGAAUGCGUUCCCGGGUCUUGUACACACCGCCCGUCACACCACGGGAGUUGGAGACGCCCGAAGCCGAUUAUCUAACCUUUUGGAAGAAGUCGUCGAAGGUGGAAUCAAUAACUGGGGUGAAGUCGUAACAAGGUAGCCGUAUCGGAAGGUGCGGCUGGAUCACCUCCUUUCUA
rnacentral:rRNA from 1 species